UACGAAGGGGGCUAGCGUUGUUCGGAUUUACUGGGCGUAAAGCGCACGUAGGCGGAUCGUUAAGUCGGGGGUGAAAUCCUGGAGCUCAACUCCAGAACUGCCUUCGAUACUGGCGAUCUUGAGUCCGGAAGAGGUGAGUGGAACUCCUAGUGUAGAGGUGGAAUUCGUAGAUAUUAGGAAGAACACCGGUGGCGAAGGCGACUCACUGGGUCUUUACUGACGCUGAUGCACGAAAGCUAGGGUAGCAAACGGG
rnacentral:rRNA from 1 species